rnacentral:rRNA from 2 species
UACGUAGGGUGCGAGCGUUGUCCGGAAUUACUGGGCGUAAAGAGCUCGUAGGUGGUUUGUCGCGUUGUUCGUGAAAUCUCACGGCUUAACUGUGAGCGUGCGGGCGAUACGGGCAGACUGGAGUACUGCAGGGGAGACUGGAAUUCCUGGUGUAGCGGUGGAAUGCGCAGAUAUCAGGAGGAACACCGGUGGCGAAGGCGGGUCUCUGGGCAGUAACUGACGCUGAGGAGCGAAAGCGUGGGGAG